AGAAUCAACGCUGGCGGCGUGCCUAACACAUGCAAGUCGAACGAGAAAGUGGUAGCAAUACCAUGAGUAAAGUGGCGCACGGGUGAGUAACACGUGACUAACCUACCCUGGAGUGGGGGAUAACUGAGGGAAACCUUAGCUAAUACCGCAUAAUACCCACGGGUCAAAGGAGCAAUUCGCUUUGGGAGGGGGUCGCGGCCGAUUAGUUAGUUGGCGGGGUAACGGCCCACCAAGACUGUGAUCGGUAUCCGGCCUGAGAGGGCGCACGGACACACUGGAACUGAAACACGGUCCAGACUCCUACGGGAGGCAGCAGUGGGGAAUUUUGCGCAAUGGGGGAAACCCUGACGCAGCAACGCCGCGUGGAGGAUGAAGUCCCUCGGGACGUAAACUCCUUUCGAUCGGGACGAUUAUGACGGUACCGGAAGAAGAAGCCCCGGCUAACUUCGUGCCAGCAGCCGC
rnacentral:rRNA from 1 species